rnacentral:lncRNA from 1 species
UUUUCAUCCCCACAGACGAGUGAAGCCGAAAACCCCCAGCGAGAUGGAAACCCGUCUUUUCCUUGGUUCCGCCCUCCCUGCUCUGGUCAGUCUGGAGGAGCCGAGCCAGUUGGAGUCCAGGCUCAUUUACUUAGAAGUUGUCGUUUAAGACCUAGGCGGAGGUAGAAGAACAAUCACCCUGUGCAAGAUAUGGCGCAGACACCACCAGCCGCUUGACAUGAACAGCAUCAGUAGCAGAAAGGAAAAAUCCCCCAUUUCCAGCGAAUUGCAAGACGGUCUUGCCCUGGUCUUGGCUUUGGGCAGCUCAGGUUGAGAAGCCUAUUUGGAAGGAGGGACCAAGUAGGAGAGGAGAGACCGAGGAAUCUAUGGCAGAGGCUGCCCUGCUUCCAGUUGUCAGGAUUAGCAGGGAACCUUCAGGAACACCACCAGGAUGGCGGAGCAUCUUCUUUGGGGGCAGUUAGAGGAGGACCCAAGCAGAGACCAUCUACUUUCCAUCGUGGAGGUAAGGGCAAAGGAGAGGAAGCAGGGGCCUAAGAAGCCCCCGGAGAGAGGGGCCACAGUGUGACUGCCAGGAUGGGCUCUUGCGGUGCUUCCCUCUGAGCUUGUGUCUCUCACCACCACCACCUUCCAAUUUCGUGCUCCCACUGCAGGGCCCUUCCUGGAAAGGCUCUUUCCUCCUUGACUUGGUAGCCCGAUCAUCUGGGAGGAAGAGGAAGGGCGGGCCUUGACUGUAGCUUAGUCCUGACUGGAUUCAGUUGCCCCCCCACAGAGGAUGCAGACAGGGAGACACGCCCCCCCCGCCCCGAGAGGGUUGCUUCUGGCUUCACCACUCGAGAAAGAGCAGCGAAAAAGGGAGGGAGAGGCUCCAAACCUGAGGAUCCACCUAAGCAUCUUUUAGGUUUCUCAGAGUGGGAGCAGAGGACCCAAAGAGGCUGAUUCAUACACACACACAACUUGCCCCCCAACCUUCUCUCUUUGUUCCUAGGUGUUUGGGGAGCUCUUCCCAGAAGAAGAGAAAACAGCCUUCUUGGAGACUGCCCUGCAGGGAGACCCUCCCAGCCGUCAAACUGUGGAUGAUUGACCGGUUCAUGAGCAGGAAGAGACCACAGGUCCUAGGAUUCCCCCUUUAGUCUACAGGAGGGGAAGGCAAGACCAUCUCCUGGC